rnacentral:rRNA from 1 species
UCAAGCUGAUAAGAGCGCAGGGUGGAUGCCUUGGCACUAAGAGCCGAUGAAAGACGUGAUAAGCUGCGAAAAGCUUCGGGGAGGAGCAAAUAUCCUUUGAUCCGGAGAUAUCUGAAUGGGGAAACCCGGCUGAGAAGACCUCAGUCACUGUAUGGUAAAUCCAUAGCCAUACAGAGGGAACCCGGUGAACUGAAACAUCUAAGUAGCCGGAGGAAGAGAAAGAAACAUCGAUUCCGGAAGUAGCGGCGAGCGAACCCGGAAGAGCCCAAACCAGCGUGCGUGCAUGCUGGGGUUAAGGACUGCAUAAGUGAGCCGAUCUGUUAAUGGAACUGCCUGGGAAGGCAGGCCAGAGAGGGUGAAAGCCCCGUACAUGAAAACGGUAGGCAGCGGCAGGAUCCAGAGUACCGCGAGACACGAGAAACCUUGCGGGAAGUCGGAGGGACCACCCUCCAAGGCUAAAUACUCCUUAGUGACCGAUAGCGCAUAGUACUGUGAAGGAAAGGUGAAAAGGACCCCGGGAGGGGAGUGAAAGAGAACCUGAAACCCUGUGUUUACAAGCUGUGGGAGCACGUUAAGGUGCAACCGCGUACUUUUUGUAGAACGGUCCGGCGAGUUGCCGGUGCUGGCAAGGUUAAAUGGUACAGCCAUGGAGCCGAAGGGAAACCAAGUCUCAAAUGGGCGUAAAGUCAGCACAGGCAGACCCGAAACCGGGUGACCUAUCCAUGUCCAGGAUGAAGCGGAAGUAAAAUUCCGUGGAGGUCCGGAUCCACAUCCGUUGAAAAGGGUGGGAAUGAGGUGUGGAUAGGGGAGAAAUUCCAAUCGAACCCGGAGAUAGCUGGUUCUCCUCGAAAUAGCUUUAGGGCUAGCCUCGUAUUAGUUUAGCGGAGGUAGAGCACUGAAUUCCUAAGGGGGCGUCAAAGCUUACCAAGGGAUAUCAAACUCCGAAUGCCGCAUAAAUGAUGUACGGGAGUCAGACUGCACGAGAUAAGUUGGGCAGUCAAAAGGGAAAGAGCCCAGACCUACAGCUAAGGUCCCAAAGUGUGUGUUAAGUGGAAAAGGAUGUGGGAUUUCAGAGACAACUAGGAUGUUGGCUUAGAAGCAGCCACACAUUCAAAGAGUGCGUAAUAGCUCACUAGUCGAGAGGUCCUGCGCCGAAAAUGUCCGGGGCUGAAACACAACACCGAAGCUCAGGAAUGUAUUUAUACAUUGGUAGAGGAGCAUUCUUAAAGGGGCGAAGCAGUACCGAUAAGGAGCUGUGGACUUUUAAGAAGAGAGAAUGCCGGAAUGAGUAGCGAGAUGGAGGUGGGAAUCCUCCAGGCCGAAUAUCCAAGGUUUCCAGAGUAAAGCUGAUCUGCUCUGGGUAAGUCGGGGCCUAAGGUAAGGCUGAGAAGCGUAGCCGAUGGACAACAGGUUGAGAUUCCUGUACCGCGUAUCAUCAGAACUGUGGGGACACAGAAGGACAGCACAUCCCGGGAAUGGAAAGACCGGGGCAAGCAGGGUAGGAGUUAAGCUGGCAAAUCCGCUUAACAAUCCGAAGCUGUGAUGCGGAGCGAAUUUAAGUAGCGAAGUGUGCGAUUCCGGCUGUCAAGAAAAGCCGCUAUUGUGUGAUACGUGCCCGUACCGUAAACCGACACAGGUAGAUGAGGAGAGAAUCCUAAGGCCGGCGGGAGAAGCAUUGUUAAGGAACUCGGCAAAAUGACCCCGUAACUUCGGGAGAAGGGGUGCCACAGAGAUGUGGCCGCAGAGAAUAGGCUCAAGCAACUGUUUAGCAAAAACACAGGUCUAUGCAAAACCGUAAGGUGAGGUAUAUGGGCUGACGCCUGCCCGGUGCUGGAAGGUUAAGAGGAGGGGUUAGCGCAAGCGAAGCUCUGAAUUGAAGCCCCAGUAAACGGCGGCCGUAACUAUAACGGUCCUAAGGUAGCGAAAUUCCUUGUCGGG